UGACCGCUGGCGGCGUGCCUAAUACAUGCAAGUCGAGCGAACAGACGAGGAGCUUGCUCCUCUGCCGUUAGCGGCGGACGGGUGAGUAACACGUGGAUAACCUACCUAUAAGACUGGGAUAACUUCGGGAAACCGGAGCUAAUACCGGAUAAUAUAUUGAACCGCAUGGUUCACUAGUGAAAGACGGUUUUGCUGUCACUUAUAGAUGGAUCCGCGCCGCAUUAGCUAGUUGGUACGGUAACGGCUUACCAAGGCAACGAUGCGUAGCCGACCUGAGAGGGUGAUCGGCCACACUGGAAGUGAGACACGGUCCAGACUCCUACGGGAGGCAGCAGUAGGGAAUCUUACGCAAUGGGCGAAAGCUUGACGGAGCAACGCCGCGUGAGUGAUGAAGGUCUUAGGAUCGUAAAACUCUGUUAUUAGGGAAGAACAAAUGUGUAAGUAACUAUGCACGUCUUGACGGUACCUAAUCAGAAAGCCACGGCUAACUACGUG
rnacentral:rRNA from 1 species